AGCAUAGCUCAGUUGGCCAGAGCAGCUGAUUUGUAAUCAGCGGGUCGGGGGUUCGAAUCCCUCUGCUG
rnacentral:tRNA from 3 species